CGGCGCACGGGUGAGUAACACGUAUCCAACCUGCCCUUUACUCGGGGAUAGCCUUUCGAAAGAAAGAUUAAUACCCGAUAGCAUAAUGAUUCCGCAUGGUUUCAUUAUUAAAGGAUUCCGGUAAAGGAUGGGGAUGCGUUCCAUUAGGUUGUUGGUGAGGUAACGGCUCACCAAGCCUUCGAUGGAUAGGGGUUCUGAGAGGAAGGUCCCCCACAUUGGAACUGAGACACGGUCCAA
rnacentral:rRNA from 1 species